AGUUGUUUGUGAAUAAUGCUUCCGUGGUACGUGCGAGGAAUGUCGUCGGCAAUCGGCGUCCAUUCAAUGGCCGGAGUCUGGAUGACAUCAAAGCUGAGUGAUCCUUCUCGUAACAUGCUGAUUUAUGUAAUAAGCCGUUCCAUCGUCGAGAUAAAAUCACGAGACAUAACGUUACUUUAUGUGCUAUACUGUGUUAUAAGUAGACCUAUUAUAAUACUCGUUAAUAUGUGUCAGUAUAUAAAAAUAAUGUUUCUGAUGAUAUCUUUAUGGAAAUAGAGA